UUAAAUUGAAGAGUUUGAUCAUGGCUCAGAUUGAACGCUGGCGGCAGGCCUAACACAUGCAAGUCGAACGGUAACAGGAAGCGCUUGCUGCUUCGCUGACGAGUGGCGGACGGGUGAGUAAUGUCUGGGAAACUGC
rnacentral:rRNA from 1 species